ACUCCCAACUCGAACGAGUCAUAACUCGAGAUGUUAACGUUAUCCUCAAACCCCCACAAAUCGCCGAUUCCAGACGAUCCAGAUGAGACUCGGACCAACUCAGUCACCUCAUCACUUUUAACCUCCUCACUCGAAACAGUAGUGGAAGGUGGCAGACCAAGCUCGUCAUCGGAUGCUUCUAGAAGGUAUCCAAGGUCCGGCUGGGCCUCGCCGGAAUCCGUCGACGUCAGAUCCACCACCUCAACCGGAGGCGAAGAAGUGGGUGUUAUCUCCACCUCGAAGCUCUUCAUUACCGAGUCAAGAUCGAGAACCGCCGCAUCGGGAUCGGAGUCGUCCAGAAAUCCAGACAACAAAUCAUCCUUCAACCUCUUCACCUCCGGCAACUCCAACUCCGGCUCGGCCGGGUCAUCCCUGACUCUCUUCUUGUUAUGGCUACUCAACUCUUCCAUUAGAAUAAAAUUAACAAUGAUAUUAAUAAAAAAGAACUAGGGUUAGGGCUUGCUUUGUUGCGAGAGAAAAGAGAAUAAAGAUUGUGCGGUUGUUCUGACGAGGAGUGGCAAGAGGGGAACACAAGUUUAUAUAAGGAGACCGAGGAGGCGAGAGAACGAGAGAGAGAGAAGUGUAUGCAAUGAUGUGACUCAAGGCGCGUGGGAUCAAACAAACACACAGGCCAUCACGGAGGACUUGCCAUUAUUUGUUGUUUCCAAAUAAAAGACUUUUUUUUUUAGAUUUGAUGUCGGGUUACCAUUUUUAUUGAAUUUAUAAAUUGGUGUUGAAAUCCGUUUUCAAGUCCGGUCGGUUGGGCCCCACUUGCCUAGUCAAUCACGGCCUUUGGUUUAAUAUCUUUGUUCAAAGAUUUGGCAAUUGUCGUUGGCUUGGCUCGGCUGGAUUUGAAUAGAAUUCGAAUCUUCGAGAGUUGGUUCGUACGUGUGUGUUCCGUGGGUAAAGUAGUCGACGACGGCGUGUGGUUUAGGCUUUUGAAAGUAUGAUAGAAAGCAUGUUUUAGUAGGCGUUUUUCAACUAUAAUUUUAUUCAUCCUCAUAAUUUUUAAAGCCAUUUCCAAAUUGUUCUUGCAGUAAACUAUUGAGAUUUAAUUUUUUUAAAAAAAACUAGUUUUUCCUCCCCAAAAAAGUAACAUUUAACAUUAUAAGAAAUAUCCGAUGAGGGGUGAGAGUACUCGCAUGGCCGAACGUUCAACCCCUAAAUUUUGGAAAUUUUUUAAUAGUGUGAAAAUUUUAAAAUAUUAAUUAAAAAAUAAAAGUUAAAAAAUAUUAAUAACCAACAAUUACUAAUCUUAAUUUUAAAAUAUAUUAAGUUUUACUAUGUUAUAAAUAUUAUAACUUACAGUUAUUUCAAAAAUCAUACAGGUUCUAUCACCUAUUAUAAUUUUUUACAUUAUUUUGAAGAAGUUGUAAGUUUCAGCAGCGGUCACUUAACAGCACCAAAUAUUUUAAUACACCUUCUACUCUACGGUCUUUAUUACCCAAAUUUUUUCUCUUACAUUAAAGAGCUACAAUCUCAAGUCUAUAAAACUCAAAAUUGGUGUCUUCAUCUUCUAUUUCUUUUUCUUUUUCUUUUUUUCAAGUUUAUUUCAUCUAACAUAACUAGUUAUAACUAAAUGAACCAUUCAACUUCCUUCUUAAGUUCUUCCGAUUCUCUCCUACAAGGGCUAACAAUCUAAAGUUUUCUUUCCUCACCAAGAUUCAAUUUUUGCUUUGCUCAUCUUUUUUUUAUUUUUUCAGUUAGUUUAUAUUAUUUGUACUUAUUUCCAUAAAUUCUUAUUAUUUAAUAAUGAAUCUUCCAUCAUGAACUUUAAAUUAAAUUUUUGAGAAAGGACGCCUACAGCCCAAGUUUCAAGAAACGGUCACAAAGACCUCUGAAUUUUCAAUAAGGGGCACCAAAAUCUACUUUUUAUUAUAAUACCCUUUGACUUUAUAAAUAAAAAAUUCACCCCAAAAUUUUAUAACAAAUAUAAAUGUAGCAUCAAAAUAAAGGUAAUAAUUUUAAUAUUUAAAAGAUAUUUUAAUAUUUUACCAUAUAUUAGACCUAUUUUAUUAUAUUAAAGUAAUUUUUAAUAAUAAAUAGAACAUAAUAUUAAAAUAAAUAAAUUCUUAAAAUUAUUUUCAAUAUUAUGUAAAAAAAGUUAAUAUAUUAAUAGGAAGAUAUUUUGUUAAUUGUAAAAUAUGUUUAGCCUGCUGUACGNNNNNNNNNNNNNNNNNNNNNNNNNNNNNNNNNNNNNNNNNNNNNNNNNNNNNNNNNNNNNNNNNNNNNNNNNNNNNNNNNNNNNNNNNNNNNNNNNNNNNNNNNNNNNNNNNNNNNNNNNNNNNNNNNNNNNNNNNNNNNNNNNNNNNNNNNNNNNNNNNNNNNNNNNNNNNNNNNNNNNNNNNNNNNNNNNNNNNNNNNNNNNNNNNNNNNNNNNNNNNNNNNNNNNNNNNNNNNNNNNNNNNNNNNNNNNNNNNNNNNNNNNNNNNNNNNNNNNNNNNNNNNNNNNNNNNNNNNNNNNNNNNNNNNNNNNUUAAAAUAAACAUAAUUGUUUAAAAAUUUAAUAUUAUUUUAUGUUAAAAUUAAUGUAAUAAUAUUAGUUUACUAGAUAAAUUAUAUUAUUUAUAUUAAAUUUGUAUUAAUUAAAAAAUUUUAAAGUCAAUUUUCUAAUUAUUAUAUUCAAAGGGUAUUAUGGUAAAAAAGAGGUCUCGGUGUGCUUUUUUUGAAAACUUAGAGAUUUUUGUGAUUAUUUCUCCAAAGUCUAGGAGUAUAAAUGUCCUUUUUUCCAAUAUUUUUAGGCAUAAUCUAUUAUGUGUUAAUUUAUAAAUUAUGUCUGUUACUUUAGUAUUAAGAUUUGUGCAUUAUUAAUUUAUUAAUUCUAUAUAUUAAUUUUCAGGCAUGAUUUUUUUUUAUUAUGAUUGCAUUAGAUGGUGUAAUAUAUCAUUUUUUGUAUUUUCAUUAUUAUAAUUUUUAAUAGAAUUUAUUUUAUUUUUAUAGUAAUUUUGUUAUAUACAUUUGGGCAACUUCCAAAUCAAAAUCUUGGAUUUGACUAUGGUAAUUUUCGUUGUCAAAGAAUUUUUUUCGAUAUUGCUUUAGACUUUAGAAGCGUUUAAACUUCUGAAAUGGUUAACUGCAAUUAUUUAUUUUAUUCAUUUUUAAUUAUGACAUUUAUAUUAUUUUAUUUUUUAAAAAAAUUAAAAUUAAUGUAAAAAAUAGUCACAUAAAAUUAAAAUACAUAAUUUUUAUUUAAAAUAAAAUGACGUUCAUAAAUUGAUGGCACAUACCCAUCAUAUUAAUGAUUGGAUGGAAAGUAAAAAAUCAUCUAUCAUUUGUGACAUAUAAUGGUUAUUAUAGCCAUAUUACUCGACACUUACAAUACAAAAUUUGUAUACAAACUCAGUAAGCUUACCAUUAUUGUUGAUAAUAUAUAUUUAGAAAAUAUUCGGAACUUUUUUACUUUGAGUUAAAACGUGAAAAACAAAAAUAUUAAAUUCUUAUUUUAGCGGUUGAUAACUUCAAAAGGAGGGGUGAGUGGAAGGAUACUUUGGUCAAGUUGACGGGGUGCCUUGUAGACUUUUAAAAUGAUUAGAUUAGGUUGGAAAUUAGAUUUUGAUUAAGCUUUAGAUUUGACGGGGUGGGGGAGGAGGACUUUUCUUAAUGAAAGUUGUAGGUAAUUGAUGGCGCAUUUUCUUGGAACCUCCAUUGGGUUACGAUGAUGAUGAUGUGCACUACAUGGAAUAAAAUAAUAUUGGUCGUGUCAAUAUGAACUAGAAUCAUGUUACACGUUAUUAGCUUUUCUUUCUUUCUUUUCUUUUCUUUUCUUUUUCCCAAAAAUUAUAUUAAAAUUAAAAAAAGAAAAAAAGCCCGAUUGCAGAAUUUCUAUGUAUAAAGUACAACUCGCCUUAUUAUGAAUGGAUUGCGUUCAACAGAAUCAACACAUCACCAUCCAAGAGUAGUUCCUUGGAAAAUAUAAAUGACAAUCAAACUUUGAAUACUUUAAAAUAUUCUUUUUAUGUUCUUAUUGUAUAGAUAAUUCUUUAUUAUUAUUUUUUUAAUUUCAUGAGAUAAUGGUGAAGAAUCAAGAAUAUGGCAAUAUGCUUGACAAAGCAAAAGACGGGGUGAGUAACGCCAUUCCCUUGUUCUAUGUCUCCCCCAUUCCUUUAAAAUAAAGUAAGGGGGAAAAAAAAUUGAUUGUCAAAAUGGGAUAGUAGCCAAAGCAACCUUUUUAUUGAAUUGUUCGAAUAAGACUUUCAAGUACUUAAACAAACUCCAUUAAUGUAACUUAAUUGGCCUGUAAGAAUCCCUUAACUUGUUUGAAUUAUUGAAAAAAAAAAACAUUUUAAAAAGCCCAGGUGCCAUGGCUACUUUCUUAUUGAAUUGUUCGGAAUAAAAAUUCAAAGCCAUGUUUGAUUAAAGUGUAAUCGUGGGUCCCCUUAUUAUUUAAUUAAGUUUUCAAUUUCGAAUCACUCAAAACACUUUUUCGUUACGUAAAAUGGAGCUCCCUCAAAAUUGUGUCUAAAAAUUAAAAGCUUUUGAUGUUAUUUCAUAACAUAUGGAUGGAUCGUCGCUGGUGACAUGAACGGUACGAGCACUACUAGCAUGUGACUGGUAAAGGGCAACAAGGUACGGCACGCACCAAAACCAUACAUUAAAAUAAAAACACAAGGAUGAUGGAUCCCCCCAUCCCACUUGCCAAUUGCCCUUCUCCACUGCAACCACCCAUUCAAUUGUUUGAUUGUGGCACUUGUGGCAUCGAGCCCCAUUUGCGCUUUUGAUAAAAAUAUCUAAUCAGCCAAAGUGGACGACAGCCGUAUCUUCAAAACCUCUCAUCGCCCAUCUUCCACAUCUUGGGUCCUCUUUCCCUCGGGUUUCCCAUCGAUACCCUCCACUUGGCCCCACCCUAUGCACCCACCAUUUCCUCCAUUUCCACACGAGCCGUCGACAAUCUCACACGAGCCAUCAUUCCCUGUGGGAUAUCUUUUAAUUAUUUGUGUGAUUUCUUUAUCUAAUUUUUUUUUUAAUAAAAAAAUUCUUUAAAAAAUUAUUUACAAUCCAUUGUUAUGGUGGAAGUGAUUAAUAUGGAGUUUUCAAGUAUCCAACUAAAAAUGCUAUCUUAUUUAAUAGAUUUUUUUUAUUAUUUUACUUAUAAAUUUAAAUAAUUCUCCUUCACUAAUCAAUAUAAAACAUAACUCAGCAUGUUAUUGUAACAAAAAUAAUUGUCAAAGUCUAGUUAAAAGUUUUGUUGUGCUGUACGAUUACAAUUUAUCUUAUGUAUCUAAGCCCAAAACGUAUCAAGUUCGUAUAUUUUAUUUCUUUUUUUCUUAAAAAUCAUGCAACAAAAUUUUUGAACUUUCUAGAAAAAUUUAGGUGAUUUCCUUUAAAUUUAACUGCUGUUUUUAAAUUUUUACAAAGUAGAUGUUCUUAAAAAAAAAUAGUCAAUUAGCAAAAUUAAUUAAUAUUUGAUUAAUUACAAGUGACCCUGUAAGAAUGAAUAUAAAGAAAUAGUUUCUUUUUUUUUAAAAAAAAAAAGAAUGAAUAUGAAUAAUCUCAAAUUUUUAAAUUUUUUUUAUGAUCUUCUAUUAUAGUGUAUACUAUAAUUGUAUGAAUUUAUAAUCUUUAAUAGGCCUUAUAUAACUUUAGAAUAUUAUAACAUAAUUCAGAGAAUAUAUAAAACCUCUUAUACUCGAUAAAUUUAUAUAUAUCUCGUUGGCAUGGGUAGAAUUAGUAUCACAUAUUUUUUUUUCUAGCAUACUAUGUUUAUAAUUUCUCAAUUAUAGUCCUGCUAUUGGCCUCAUCGAUUUCAGUGAUAUAAUAUUACAAUCUCCUUCAAUUUAUGUGUUUUGUUUUUCUUUUUUCAAAUUAAAAUCUUGAUAGCACCGGUGCUUGCCGAUGAGGCCAUAAAGGGCGUUAUAAAGAAAGCUGGCUUAUAUCAGCUUAAAAGAGCCAAACGCAGCCGAGCCGACUCAUUGGAUAACCAACGACUAAAAUAAAAAACUAAAAUAACCCUUAGCAAUUAAUUUACACAUUCAUGGGUCAUAUGAGUAUUAUAAUGUGUCAGGACCCGCCCCGUCCAAGUUAUCCAACGUUACCCAUCGUUGCCAAUUAAACGGUCUACAAAUUGGGCGCCGCGUCAGCUCUUAGCCGCUCCUCGAAAAUCAAACAUGUCAACUUGCCCUUCUUUGAACGUCUCCACGUGGCUUGGCGCCUUUGUAUUUCAAUCAAUUAUGUCGUGCCGAUUUUGGGUAUUUACUGAUUUCCCUUUCCCCAGUUUGGUAUUGGUAUCUAGAAAGACUGAUACGUUUUCCAAAGUGGGCCCACGUGUUUAAGUGCCCAUGUUAAAAGCAAUCACAUGAUACAGCUGAUUGUUUGGUGUGUGUCAUCACAUCCGUGUCGCUCUUCCUUUUUUACUUUUCACGAGGUCUCUGCUGCACUGCUGAUCAUACUGUUAGGAAAAUAAUCACAUGUGUCUCACCCUCACCGUACCUAACGUUAAUAAUGAAGUGAUAUCAAAUUAUGAAUAUCCGACGGAUGAACAAAGAUAUCCUGAUCUGAGCAUGGAGUGUGUGGUUGGUAACAUGUUGAACUUCUUUGGUGUUGCGGAUCCGUGAAUCGGACGCACUUCGGUAAGACGCCUGAGUCCGAAUCACGAGGAGAACGAUUAAGAGAGAUGACAAAUUGGACGGUGGAAACGGGAGGGGUAACUUGGGGACCGAUUCAACGGUGGAGAUUUAUCCAAUAACAUCAUCAGUAUUAUGGGGACCACAACUUUUGCCCAAGUCAAGAAGCACGCUAUGACGUUAUUCACUCAAUUGCGGAAUUCGUCAGUCAUUUCUGUUUUUAUCUCAAUUAUUAAUUAAUUGUUUUAAAAAAUCCUAAUUUAUUUGUCACCCUUUUUUUUAACAACAUUUUAUGUGUUUUUUAAUCGUAAUCUCGGAUGACGGAGAGCGCGGCAGCGGUUGACCCGCCACGACUCCUGUAGAAGGGAACAAAAAACUUUGCAUGAAAUUGAAGUUAGAUAAUUAUAUUUUUUUAAAUUAUAACACUAAUAUAUUAAGUACUUAAUAUAAUUUAAAAGUUUAAAUUUAUUAUUUUAAAUUAAUUUUAUUAAAAUUAUUAUUUAAAAAAUUAUAUUCACUGUAUAUUGUUAAUUUUUUUUUAUAAUAAUGAUAGCUUUUAAAUUACACCUCUUCAUUAUUACAAUUUUUUUCUACAACAAUAAUAAUUGUAAAAAUUACAAUACGUUUAUAUUAAAUAGAGCCGUAAAAUGUUCGAUUAUGCGACAAAAUAACGGAUUCUUUAAGAGAAUUUAUCAUAUAUAUAUAUAUUAAUGCUAAAUUUAAUUAAUUUUACCACAUAUCUUAUGAAUUAUCUCAUCAUCUCAAGAAAUGGUGGGUAGCCCCGCGCACAAAUCCUUCUCUCGAAGCGGAGUCGCAGACAAUAGGAAAAGGGAGAACCGGCAAUGCGGAUGAAGGAGAAUCUAUCCACAAGUAGACAAAAAGAUCAGGCUGAUGUGUCGACACUUCAUGUGAUAUGCGACAUCGUUUUUCUCUUUAUUUACCUGAAAAGAAGUGAUUCUUGUUAGCAGCUGUAAGCCUGUAACGCCGUAAACCUUUUACAUCAGGCAUUCCACUUGCUAAAAAAUGACAAAGACAACAUUUAAGUGCGGCAUUUUAUUGGAUGUACCGAAAGUUUGGCGUGACAAAAAUCAAAAUUCAAUCAAAAAAGAUCAACAGCCAGCUAUUAAAUGUCGUAGCAGAAAGUCAGAACUAGAGAGCCUUGAA
rnacentral:lncRNA from 1 species